GUCCACGCCCUAAACGAUGGCAACUAGUUGUUGGAGGAUGAACUCCUUUAGUAACGCAGCUAACGCGUGAAGUUGCCCGCCUGGGGAGUACGGUCGCAAGAUUAAAACUCAAAGGAAUUGACGGGGGCCCGCACAAGCUGUGGAUGAUGUGGUUCAAUUCGAUGCAACGCGAAAACCUUACCUACCCUUGACAUGCCAGGAAGCCUGAUGAAAGUCGGGUGUGCCCGAAAGGGAACCUGGACACAGGUGCUGCAUGGCUGUCGU
rnacentral:rRNA from 1 species